rnacentral:lncRNA from 10 species
GCAGAUUCUUGCCAUUUGUGCCAAGACUAUCUGGAUGUGAACAUAAACGUCCAUAAGGUCUGGUAGUAUGUUAUUUUGCUAAUGUUCCUGGAAUGACCUGCUUGACAAUGGGAGGCUAUUAGCUCCAUUGUCAAGGAGCUAAGCAACACCUCUAGGUGACUCUCCUGCUGCAGCUCAGGAACAUUUGAAAGGCAAUAUACUCUUCUUUCAAUCUGCAGAGAAUGGAUUCACUCAAGAUCACCCAGAGACUGGAUCUCACUACUUGCCUAGCUCUUGAACUCCUGGCCUCAAGCAAUCCUCCUGCCUCAACCUCCCAAAGUGCUGGGAUUACAGGAGUGAGCCACUAUGCCCCACAUGUAUUCUCCCAUUUGAGAAAACAAUGAACAAAUCAGUGAGAAGAAGCAAGCAGCUUAUAUUCUUUGAUAUUCUCUGCUAUUCUGGUUUUUGGGGAAAAUAUUUCAUAAUCAGUCCUCCAAAAUUGAAGUGAUGUGAAAGAAUUGGCAGAUAUUUAAAUAAAGGACCCAUAAGUAUAAAAUAAAUGGAAACUGUAGUAAUGAGGCUAUGAAAUAUAUAAGAUGGUUUAUUCAUAGGUAAUACAGACCUUCCAGAGAAAAGUUUAUACGCCUCACAGAAAGGACAGGGACUUUGAAAUUAACAAUGAACUUCUUUAGAAAUUCUGACUUUAAUAGUUAACAUUUGUAAGACUUGAAACAAGAUAUCUUGUUUAAUAAACUCCACAAACCUCAAUUUUUUUACAAGAUGGGGAAAAUAAUGGCUACCUUAGAUGAGUAUUGUGGGGAUUAAAGUAAAUAGAUAUAAAAUAUCUAAAAGAAUGCCUGGGGCAUUGUUAGUGUUGUAAUAACUUAGUUUCAUAAAGCUCCAGUAAAUAGUCAUGUACAUAUUAUUUUUUAGAAGUAUGAAGUUCAGAAAUAUUUGUGAUCCCUUUUCUUAUUUGCAGUCUUCUCAGUACUAAAUGGAAUGACUAAGGGUAUCUUUAAUUAUUAAACAACUCCUAACCUGAAAACAAAUGGAUUACAUUGGUGGCCGACUCACAGAGAAAGUUUAUGCAGAUAGAAUCUACAUGGCCAAUUCAAAAAAAGGACACAUUUUUAGAAACGAUAUCCAGGAUGUCACAAUACCUUGUCUACACUCAUCAAUUUUAUUGUCACCUUGCCACUAUUGAGCUUAGUGUUGACACUUCCCAGAGCCCAGAAGUUGCCCCUAAAAAUUAUGAAUUCCACACUGGGAAAGCAAGGUAAAGUAAUUCUUUUGUUGGGUUAUUGAUGCUUUGGAAGGGACAUAGAGAUAUGGAUGCAUACAUAGCUCAAAAUAAAAGAGAAUUUAUUCUGGAACAUGGCCAAGAUAAGAAUGUCACCUAAGUUCACCAGGCCAUCAUUUGAGAGUAGCUUCAGCAGAUUAAUACAUCAAAAAAGCCAAUAAAACAAAACAUUGAAAUGUAAUUAUUUAUUAAAUACUUGAAGGAAUUACAGUAGUUGAGUUGAAUCAUAUUUUUUUAAAAAGAUGAAGAAGAAAAACACAGCCUUUAAAAUUUCUCUUUCGAUCCCCUUUUUCUCUUUUCCUGAAAUUCUAAACCUCAAGGAAGUUGACUUAUAAGAUGUUCCUUUUUUAAAAUCAACCCACUCUCAAAAUUCC